GCAGCUCCCCGGCAGCGGCGGUGGAGAGCGCAGCGCGCAGCCCGGUGCAGCCCUGGCUUUCCCCUCGCUGCGCGCCCGCGCCCCCUUUCGCGUCCGCAACCAGAAGCCCAGUGCGGCGCCAGGAGCCGGACCCGCGCCCGCACCGCUCCCGGGACCGCGACCCCGGCCGCCCAGAGAUGACCGCGACCGAAGCCCUCCUGCGCGUCCUCUUGCUCCUGCUGGCUUUCGGCCACAGCACCUAUGGGGCUGAAUGCUUCCCGGCCUGCAACCCCCAAAAUGGAUUCUGCGAGGAUGACAAUGUUUGCAGGUAAUGGAGUGGCUCCUCAGAGGCAGCUUGUGGGGGCCACGCAGAAGCCUGGGGAGUCAUGAAGUCACGCAGAAAAAAUAGGGGGCUUGGCCACUGCGCUGCGGCAAACAGCUUCCGGGCCCCUGCAGAAAACUGGUGGGGCGAGCGGGGGAGAUGAGGGCGGGGGUGGGGGGGGCAGCCACAGCUCCUGUCUGCGUUCUCAGAGGUGGGGUGGCAGGUGGGACCACUGCA
rnacentral:sRNA from 1 species